rnacentral:lncRNA from 1 species
UUAAUUGUUAAUAUUACAUGAAAUUGUGUCGUUUCAUGUAUUAUAACUCCAACAUCUAAUAAAUUAUCAACAUCGUAUAAACUGUGUCAUUUCAUGAAACUGUUUUGCUCUCACUGCCCUCAAAACCCAAACGCUCAUUACCCUUGGAAUCCUUACAGCCGCAGACGAAGAUGAAGACAAAGAUCCACAAGAGCGGCCAUCAUUGCCGAGUAGUGGAACUUGAGAUAGCUCAGUUGUUGAAACCUUCACUUAAUUUCACACCAUUUUCGAAAUCGCCUCUCUCUCUAGCGCCCCGUCAAAGUACUAUAUCGACAUGGACAUCAAGGAGAGGAGAAAGCUUGGUUGUGGUAAUUUACAAAUCUCUUCUUCUUCAUUCAUUUAAUUUUUUUUUUCAAAAAAAAAUCUAUUAAUCCUACAUUUGAACUCAAUCUUGUUUCUUUUCUUAAAAAUAUUCGAUUAUUGAAAUAUUAGAUUUAAACUCGAUCUUUUUUUUUAAUGAUUUAUUAGUUUGAAGCCCUAGUUGAUGAGAUGAGUUAAUUGUUUAUAUGUCUCGAUUUAAUUGAUUUUGACAAUUGGAAAUGAUUAGAGCCAAUUUCGUUUUGAUUUAAGUAAUUGAUUUUGGCGCACUAAGCUGCAGAAACAAUAGCAUAAAUCUGGUUGCUAUUUCUGAUGUUACAAAACUACAGAAAAAGUUAAAUCAUUUUGCCAAAAACUGUAAAAGCAGCAAGCACAUUUGUGUUGCUUUUUGUGCUGUUAAAAAGUGCGUAAACAACUAUUGUUUCUGCUAUCCAAUAAUACAGAAAUGACUACAGUUUUUACUGUUGAAAUGUGCAAAGACAGUUGUUGUUGCUGUUAAAAUGUGCAAAGACAGUUGCUAUUUUUGCUGUUGAAAUGUGCAAAGACAGUUGUUGUUUUUGCUGUUGAAAUGUGCAGCUGUUUCUGCUAUUUUAAACAGUAGAAAUAGUUGUUGUGUCUGUUGUUUUGUGCAUAAAACUGCAGAAACAAUACAUGCUUCUGCAGAUUUGUGCAUUUAAGCUACAGAAACAGUUACAAAUAUUACUGAUAAAUAAUUACAAAUUCCUUGACAUAAGGAAAUAAUUUUAAAAAUACAUCAAUCUCUCUGGUUACUCUAACAUGCUCAACAUAAAAAAAAAAUGUUUAUUGAAGUAAUAUGAAAAGCCUUAAUUGUUUGUGUCCUUGUUUUACAGGUUAGGAAGCUUGAAUUUUUUAUUGCUUUUCUUGUAUUAACUAUAGUUGGAUGCUUGUUUACAGAGCUUGGCUAUGCAAGCCCUAAUGCAAAAGAUUUUCUAAGGAAAUGGUACUACUGGUCUCGCAAUUUCACUUUUUGUGCUAUGAUUAUGUCGUACAUUUGUUAUGUUCUUCCUACUUUGUAUUGGUUUCCUUGUUUGGAGUUUGUAAUAUUUGUUUCCAUUCAUAUCUUGUUCACGCACAAUCUCUUUCUCCACUUAGCAUUAAUGCUUUCUAGGAAAAUCCCAAGAUCUGUUAGUAGUAUCAAGGUGAAGUUUUGUUUACUCUAGACUGUUUUUAAUAUACUUUUAUAAUGUAUUGACCUAUUGCAUGUACGAUGCAGUCUACAUGCAAGUUAUGUUAUGACUGAGAGUUUACCUUCUAGGCCAAUCUAGAUUAAUAAAAAUUACACUACUACGCAAUAGUACAGAAGGAUUUCUUCCACAGCCUAGGGUGGACGAUAGGAUUAACAAUUAUCUCAUUCUCAAAUUGAUUGUCCUUAUCCCUCUCGCUUAUUAUGCCCAAUGGUCUAAUGGGACAUGUUCAGAUUAUACUUUUUCCUUUAUGGCAAGAUAUAUAAUUUAAUCCCUGAUCACUAGUCUAGCACAUUCCCAUACAGUUUUAGUCAUUAAACUAACCGAAUGGAUAAACCAUGCUAUAAAUCAGAUGACUGAAUUCUAAUAGAUCUUGACAACCUAGGUGAACAAAGUUAAUUUAUGUAAAAUAACUCCCAAGUGUAAUAAGUAAUCACAUAUGGCUGCGGCAUUCAUGAAAUGCACUAAUGAUUGGUGCUUGAAUCAAUUUUGUUCACAUGAAGCUCGCAGGUCGAUUUGUAAGUUUUAAUUUUCAUUUAGAGCCCUGUCAGAAGAUGGUAUUGUUACUGGAAUUUUCCUUGGAAGUCUUGCUAGAAGUCUUGUUGUUGCAGUACUUGCAUUAAUCUCUGGAAGUUUUGUUGGGUAACUCAGCUUGGUGGCCAUAAUUCUUAUUGUUUUUCUUAGAGUUUGAUUGGAAUUUAACUGUUAUUUUAUACUUUGGGAUGAUUUUUUUCAAUUUGGGAUAUUUAACUAUAUAUUGGUGGUGAUCACAUUGGAUAUUAGAUUUAUUUUUUUGAUAUUCAUUUUAUUAAUUAAUUAAUUAAAUUUGUAAACAGGAAUUCAUCAAUAAAUUGUAAGUAUAAUAUAAUUUUUAAAAAUAAAACUUUAUGACGGGAAAAAGCCAUCAUGUCUUCUAUCAUAAAUAAUUUCCCGCCAAAAUUGAAUAAUAAAUUUUCAAAUAAUAAUUGAAUUUUUCGCAAAAUAUUUAAAAACAUUUACUCGAAAAUUUAAAUAAAUUCAAAUUUUAAUUCAAUUAUUAUUUUUACUUUAAAAUAUUGUGUGACAGAUAUAUGACAGUGAAAUACAAUCAUGAAUUCAUGACGGAAAAUAUUCUGUCAUAAAUUAAUGACAGUGACAUAGAUGACAGAUGAACUGUCUGUCAUGCAUCCCCUUUCAUAACAGUUAUUUUCAGCCAUCUAUUGCCUAUUUUCUUGAAGUGAACGCUCAAAAGAUCAAUUAAUGAGGUCCAAGGACAUAUUGUUUAAAGAGUAAAAGUGCAAGCGUUCUACUGCAACAUACUUAGGGCCCUAAUAAAGUUGUUUUUGUAUUUUCUAAGUUUUUUUUAAAAGCUUAAUAUAGUCAUCCAUAUGCAUAAUAAUUUACACAUGCAUCAAAGUGUUAUCUUACUGGGCAUUAGCUCAUAAAGUCCUUAUAUUGCAGGUAACAAUGAGUAGGGUAAGUUGGCGCCAAGUCCUAACCAAGACGAAGUGCAUAUGGGCAUAACAGACCUUGGGAUUUUAUUAUGCGCUCAGCUUUGUUUCAAUAAAAAAUAAGCAUCUUAGUUUUAUGUAAUAAUAAAGUUUUUAUAUUAAGAAGUUUUUGUAAGAAAUUUUUUUUGUUGUGUAAUUUUUUUUAAUCCGUAUUUAUAAAAGCACAAUGUUUUAAACAUCUUUAAAAUGAAUAUUUAAGUGGAGUGUUAC